AACUCUGUGUUGAAGGAAAGAAGUAAUUAUGUUUCUCUAAUGGAAGCGACCUUAGGUUGGUGUGAGCUAAGGAUUAGACCAUAAUGAAAGGCAUUCUGGAGCAGUUUGAUAAAAGUGGCUUUUUGAAUUGACAAAAAGCAAAUAGGGUGGAACCGCGGGUAAGCUCUCGUCCCUAUG
rnacentral:ncRNA from 1 species